rnacentral:rRNA from 1 species
CCUACGGGUGGCAGCAGUGGGGAAUAUUGCACAAUGGGGGAAACCCUGAUGCAGCGAUGCCGCGUGAGUGAAGAAGUAUUUCGGUAUGUAAAGCUCUAUCAGCAGGGAAGAAAAUGACGGUACCUGUUUAAGAAGCCCCGGCUAACGACGUGCCAGCAGCCGCGGGAAUACGUAGGGGGCAAGCGUUCUCCGGAUUUACUGGGGGUAAAGGGAGCGGAGACGGCAGCACAAAUCUGAAGUGAAAUGCCGGGGCUUAACCCCGGAACUGCUUUGGAAACUGUGCAGCUAGAGUGCCGGAGAGGUAAGUGGAAUUCCUAGUGUAGCGGUGAAAUGCGUAGAGAUUAGGAGGAACACCAGUGGCGAAGGCGGCUUACUGGACUGUAACUGACGUUGAGGCUCGAAAGCGUGGGGAGCAAACAGGAUUAGAUACCCUAGUAGUC